rnacentral:tRNA from 1 species
GCCACCGUAGCUCAGUGGUAGAGCACUAGGCCCAAGCAGCCUGGAGGACGCUGGUUCGAAUCCAGCCGGUGGCA